rnacentral:rRNA from 1 species
AUACGGAGGAUCCGAGCGUUAUCCGGAUUUAUUGGGUUUAAAGGGAGCGUAGGUGGAUUGUUAAGUCAGUUGUGAAAGUUUGCGGCUCAACCGUAAAAUUGCAGUUGAAACUGGGAGUCUUGAGUACAGUAGAGGUGGGCGGAAUUCGUGGUGUAGCGGUGAAAUGCUUAGAUAUCACGAAGAACUCCGAUUGCGAAGGCAGCUCACUAGACUGUUACUGACACUGAUGCUCGAAAGUGUGGGUAUCAAACAGGAUUAGAUACCCUGGUAGUCCACACAGUAAACGAUGAAUACUCGCUGUUUGCGAUAUACAGUAAGCGGCCAAGCGAAAGCAUUAAGUAUUCCACCUGGGGAGUACGCCGGCAACGGUGAAACUCAAAUGAAUUGGCGGGG